rnacentral:rRNA from 1 species
UACGUAGGGGGCAAGCGUUGUCCGGAUUUAUUGGGCGUAAAGAGCGUGUAGGCGGUCAGGUAGGUCCGUUGUGAAAACUCGAGGCUCAACCUCGAGACGCCGAUGGAAACCAUCUGACUAGAGUCCGGAAGAGGAGAGUGGAAUUCCUGGUGUAGCGGUGAAGUGCGCAGAUAUCAGGAAGAACACCCGUGGCUAAGGCGGCUCUCUAGUACGGUACUGACGCUGAGACGCGAAAGCGUGGGGAGCGAACAGG